UUUUAUAAUAAAUCCUUGCAUGCAUAUCAUCACAUUAGUGUCGUGGCGUAGAGCAGUAGAGUAGAGGCACUUACACAGGUAGAGUAGAGACACUUACACAGGUAGAGUAGAGACACUUACACAGGUAGAGUAGAGGCACUUACACAGGUAGAGUAGAGACACUUACACAGGUAGAGUAGAGACACUUACACAGGUAGAGUAGAGGCACUUACACAGGUAGAGUAGAGACACUUACACAGGUAGAGUAGAGGCACUUACACAGGUAGAGUAGAGACACUUACACAGGUAGAGUAGAGACACUUACACAGGUAGAGUAGAGGCACUUACACAGGUAGAGUAGAGGCACUUACACAGGUAGAGUAGAGACACUUACACAGGUAGAGUAGAGGCACUUACACAGGUAGAGUAGAGAUACUUACACAGGUAGAGUAGAGACACUUACACAGG